UACUCGAGUGGCGAACGGGUGAGUAACACGUGGGUGAUCUGCCCUGCACUUCGGGAUAAGCUUGGGAAACUGGGUCUAAUACCGGAUAGGAGCCAUCUUUAGUGUGGUGGUUGGAAAGUUUUUUCGGUGUAGGAUGAGCUCGCGGCCUAUCAGCUUGUUGGUGGGGUAAUGGCCUACCAAGGCGGCUACGGGUAGCCGGCCUGAGAGGGUGUACGGCCACAUUGGGACUGAGAUACGGCCCAG
rnacentral:rRNA from 1 species